rnacentral:misc_RNA from 1 species
GGUCUUAAACACCAAGGAAAAAUGAAUAGACAUAACUUUGCUGCUUGAUGGCAGUUACAACUUUAUGUGGUGUGUGCUUUUUUGUAGCAUAAUGAGUUUACAUACAUGAUCUCGUAGCUUCAGGCGACAUUCUCACUUCUGCGUUCUUGCUGAUCUUAAAUAUAACAAGAAAACUAUAAACUAUCACUAUAAGUGUAACUAGAUCUCCAACUAAAACGCCGACAAUAAACAACAACAAAAUUUCUAUGGAUGCACUUCAGCAUCAUCGUGCACAGUAGAAGAAAUCAAGAAGCUGCUAAUAAGAUUUGGCAAAUAUUGCAACUUCAUCUGCUGAAUUGCCUGUCAUCAGGCACUUCUUUGGUCCCUCAGGCUGCUCAAAUGGGAAACAUCUAAUGGUUGCACCUGUCUCUUCUUUCACCUUUGAUUCUUCCUCGUCACCAGCUGACCAAGGCCCCCUUGCCCAUUUUCCUUGAGCUAUUGCGUCCUUAAGCUCAUCAUAUGAAGACACAUCCAUAAUGUUACUAUCACGAAAAGUUGUUGCCCUUUCCAAAAGGGAUGAUUGAACCUCAUUCAACUUGUCUUUGACGUAAGCCACCAGGGCGGACGGCUCCAUGGAUAUUCCAAAAACUUUCCCUUGCUUUCCAGGAACA